rnacentral:rRNA from 1 species
UACGAAGGGGGCUAGCGUUGCUCGGAAUCACUGGGCGUAAAGCGCACGUAGGCGGUCUUUUAAGUCGGGGGUGAAAUCCUGGAGCUCAACUCCAGAACUGCCUUCGAUACUGGAAGACUUGAGUCCGGGAGAGGUGAGUGGAACUGCGAGUGUAGAGGUGAAAUUCGUAGAUAUUCGCAAGAACACCAGUGGCGAAGGCGGCUCACUGGUCCGGUACUGACGCUGAGGUGCGAAAGCGUGGGGAGCAAACAGG